AUACGAUAUAAUUUUGGCAUUUUGGCAGCUUGUGAAAUGCAAACUUCUCAUAAUGUUUGCUAUUAACAUUUACUGCUCCCCAGUAACUUUAGCUGAUGUACCCUGCGUUAGCUGUGUACAUGGCAUUUUAAUGUAUGUUUUUGAGUAAUUAGUAAAGAGAAGCAAGACCGAAAAGGAGAACAGAGAAAGAAAGACAACUGUAAAUCAAAAUUUAACACUCAAGAUUGGAAGUUUAACACAACAUAGAUAGAAAUUAGCAAUUCGUGUAGCCUAGGACAUGGCAUUGUGGUCUAUUAAAUAUGAAGUGGGUUACAUUGCUGCACUGUGCACCUCACUAAAUGUUUGAUCCUGGAUUGUGAUGUAAACGACCAACCCACCGCAGCUGUUUAAAAGUAGGCUAGCCAAAACACGUGCGUAAACUGCGGACUUGGCAACCACGCUCUUCGAACUGCUUUAUACGGCACGUCGAUCGGAGAGAGAUCUUAUUGGUCAACACAUUUUAUAUCCGCCCGAGUAGAAGCGUCUUAUUGGUGAGCGCACCCGUCAAUCACGACAGCUUCCCAACGUGGGCGUCAUAACGAGGCUUUGACGUUAGAGUUGAUUGGUCAGCUGGUGGGUUUGACGUCACGGCGCUGCCAGCUGAUCGGAGGAGAAGCCGGUAUGAGAGGAGUAGAAGCGGACAGACUUCGGGAGGAGAUGUGAACGCGGAGAAGACGGACACACUGAGGGAGAGACAGACUAAUGGAGCAAUCUUAUUUAAUCCUGUUAAUCACAAGUGUGUAAGCAGUAGAAAUGUUCGUCUGUGCUUGUCAGUGCUGCGAGGCCUAAUGGAUGUCUGCUUGUCUGACUGACUUCCUGCUGGUAUAAAGGUAUGAAGUGUUUAAAAAGUGCACAUUUAUACUAAAUAAAUUAAGCUAAGCCUUGUCAAAUACCUACAGUAUGCCCUGAACAUCAGCUGUAAUACAAUUAAAAUAGAUUAUGGUAAUUAAUUCUGGGAAGAUUUGUUAAUCCACACUGCAGCCUAAUGUAAGUUACAGACACAGUACUGACAGAACAUCAUUCAGUUCUCUGAACCUCAGUCCUUUUUCAGGACUACACACAAGCUAAGUAAUAAAAUGUUUACAAGGUUGCUUAUGCAACUGCAAAAAAAAAAAAAAAAAAAAGAAGCAGUUCGGCUCCCAAAGGCUAUCCGAAACCACACAAGCCUACUGUGCUACUAAAGAGUAUAUGAAAAUAGUACGCCACCUACAGUCUUCUGUAUUAUCACAGACUUAGGACUUAAUGUACACAAGGGUUAGAAGUGAAAUGAAAGACUGUUGGUGCUGUUAUGAUUUACAGGGUAUAUCUGGCAUGGUUUGGGUUUGUCGCCUUAGAGGGAAGCUUCACUGCAUUCAUACAAAGUCAUACUGACUGAUCACCUUUGUCCUAUGAUGAAACAUUUCUAUCCUGAAGGGAGUGGCCUCUUCCAGGAUGAGAACGUCCACAUCUCCAGGGCUCGAGGCAUCAGUGAACUUGAUGUGUGUGAAAAUGAUGUGACUCAUAUGCUAUGGCCUUCGUAGUCACCACAUCACAACCCAGGUAUCACCUAUGGGAGAUUUUGGACAUGUUAUACAGUACUGUCCAACAACACCCGAGGGAAUUUUUCUGUUAUUGUUGUUGGAAGAAUAGCGUUUCACAGCUCCUGUACAUUUCCAGAGACUUGGAUAAUCUAUACCAAGAUCGUCAGAGCAGUUCUGGAGGCUUGCCAUGGCCCAACAGCUUACUAAUACAUUUAUGUGUUUUGUUUUUUUUUUGGUCACCCGGCUAUGUGUUGCUUCCAAUAUGGCAGCUGGAUCUCAGAUGUGGCACCCAUAUUUCCUGUCGGUUUUGCAACACUAAGCCAGUGAAUAAAAAAGCCUUUAACUUGGCAAAACAGAAUGUGAUGCUUAUCCUGACCAGCCACCUGUUAGCAGCAUAUUUACAAUUAAUACAGACCUUCUGAUUAUAUGUUCAGAUUACUACACCAUCAAACAGCAAAUGGCCUUGUUGGAUUUUUUUUUGCACUGGUCCAAAUUUAUAGUGAUGCACACACUUCAAUCCUGCACAGAAGAGUUAAAAAUGUUGAAUGUUUGUAGGAUUGGGAAGAAAGAAGCAGUUGUAGUAACAUCAUAUUCUGGUUUUACCCAUCUUUAAUGCUUCAAAAAUGCAAUUAUGGACAGAUGUCUAGUAUAGGUAGGCCUUAGAAUUAUAAAGUGACAAUGAAAGCUUAUCUGGUAAAAUAUUUAAACUAUCCCUAAAUACACCUAUUUAGGUAUUUUCAAAUUGUAACUGGUAAUUCUUAAAACACCACUAAGCAGGCUGAUAUUGAUAGAAAUGUCAGCUUGAUUAUAUUAGUAUUUUUUAGAGACCUUAUGAUACCGACUUUCCUUUCUGCUACAGACUAAAAACAUGACUUACUUUUUCAGUUAAACUCUUUCACACAAAAAUCACACUUAUGGUAUGUAAAAUGUGUAUGUUAUAUACAUAGAUAUAAAGUCAUACAAUUAUGUCUUUUUAAUAUGUAGACUUUUCCAAUUCUAGUCUUUUGUUACCGGAACGUUCUUUCUUCCUCCAAUAGUUGAUUAGCUGGUUUAAGCCAGAUACCAAUCCUGGUUAUCAGAUUGGUGUCAUGCCUAGUAUUUAUUUAUUUUUUUUUUAUUAAAUAAAUAAGAAAUGCGUCCAUUGGAUUUGAAAUUAUAAAAGCCUUUUACGUGAGUGAGCCAGUGCAAAGAAUGUUUUUGGGAAAAUUAAAAAGAGGAGUACCUGCUAACUAGAGACUUGGAGAAAGCAGCAACAUAGUGCAGACUGGUUGAUCAUCUCAGAUCUAUACUAUUUGGUCUAUUUUUCAAAUCUUUAUUGAAGACUGACAUUGUUUUCUAUGCAUUGAAACAAAUAUGUGAUGAAUUCCUUCUUGUAUUACCUACUUCAGAAAUUCCUGUCCAAAGAUGCUGGGGUACUUUUUUUUUUUUUUUUUUUUUUGGGUAAAUGUUUGCUUGGUGAUUGCAUUGUCUGGUCUUUCAGUUACAUUCACUAGUUGUCAUCCCAGUCUGGCUGGAAAAUUGACUACAAAUGUCCACAAAUGGCUGUCUCAGUGCUUCUUCAGGCUAGUCUCCAGACGGCCAGACUUCGAAUGGAGAAAUCAGAAAUGAGACUUGAUUGUUAUUCAAGGUCCGCACUUGUCCACUGCUCUCUCGCUGUCUGUUUUCCGCUAUAGCCAAAAUGUAUUCGUUUGUGUGAAGAAUGUCUGUGAGAUGUGUGAGAGAGCAUUCUGGAGACUGGAAUUUGUUUUCUGCUCUGUACUAUUGAUUCGUCUGUAACUCGAAAUACAUGGUGUACAUAUCAUGCUCGCAGGAACAGCUCGGCGGAGUUUGUGAAACUUUUUUUUCGAGGAUGUGACUGUGGCUUUUGGAAUGAACGCUGGAAAUGAAUAUUGACCAGUGGCUAGUGUUCAUUGGCCCGAGGAGAAAAAUGCUAGUUAGGGCCACACCCUGAGAGUUAUAUCACAGUUCUGCUAUCUGUGCUAAAGUUGUUGCACGCUAUCCUGUGAGUGGGUUGAGGAGCUCUUGUGGGAUUUCUGUGCAGUCUUGCCUUCGCUUGUUGGUUUGUACUGUAUGGUUGGUGUAACAGAUUUUGAGUGGGCUUUGUGGGGGUGUGUGAGGCUCUCUGUGAUAGUGAUUUUCUCCACUUGGCAGUUAGCUGUCUCUGCCUUGUCCAUGUGGGAAGGCAGGCGUUUGGUUUGAGUGCGCUCUGCUGUCUCUGAGAUGGUGGAGCUUCCUGUCUGUGCAGCCGCGUGGUCCUUUGGGACCGAAUGCUGGACAUUCAGACAAGCCAGUGAUGGAACUGGGCCUGCAAACAUUUCCUUCUUAAUGGCUCUGUUCCAGAGCAGAGCCGGGUCCCAGGCUGCAUUCUUAUGUAGCAAUGCUUUGACACAUUUGCAACAUAUGGAACAGUCAAACAGGAAGUAGUCCAGUUGUCGGCUUCUGUGUAAUUAUUUGAGAUUGGUAUUGAUUGCUGGUGUUAUGGACUUACAGACAUUUAAAAUUAAUUUGCCAGUGCUAAGGGGCAUGUUGAUUAAAUGGCCUGUGGGCUUGGUGUAACCCAGUUUAAUUUUUUUGGACAAUGUAUAUCAGCCAUUGACAUGAGCGACAUAUAAACAGCCUUUGCAGGGAACUUUUCCACUUAGUCCAGUCUUGUUCAUUCCCUAGAACCUUGUUGACUCCUUAAGGCUCUUUUACUGAGAACGAGGGAGGGAGUGUAUGCCGGCCUGGCUCUGAGGCAGGGUGGAGUCCGUCCAGCACAGAGCAGUUCAGACAGCAUAGAGGGCCUCACCAGACUGAAUGGAAUUUAUACCAUAUGUACCAGGCAUCCUCGGAAUGUGUGGCACAGGAACCUGACCAAUGGAAAGAACUACAGAAAGAGGAAUGGAAAGGAGAGAGAGAGAAGGAUGGGUGGCGGGAGGGGAGGGAAAGCUGCAGGAACAGACCUGUGGUGUAUAAUUCUGUGACUGGUUUCCAAUGACCUAUUUAGCCAUAAGGGUAAGUGGUGGUAAGGAGCUGUGCAUUUUAAAAGAAUAGCAUUUUUAUUUAAUGAAAUGAUACAUUACUAGUAUCAUUAUUAACCAGAGACCCAGGCCAUCAUGGUGUAGACGUGGUCACAUGCAUGUUAAAGCUGAUGUUUCCAUAACGUUUUACAGCAGUUUUAACAAAACAUCUGCCCAGAGGUUAAACUCAAUUCAGAAAGCUCCACCUUUCAGGUAUUCUAGCCUAAGCAGAACAUCUGAAUGUGUUUUUUGUUUUACUGGGUGGGAAACACUGAAACGAGGGAACACUGAAAGGAGGAACUGUAUUUGUUUAGACUUUAGUUUCAGCUAGAAGCAGCAAACUUUGCUAAAAUUGCUGAUUAUAUCUUUAAUGUAAGAUUUAAUGUUAAUGUUCACAAUUUUCAAAGCAUGAAGUCAGAAAAUAUUUUGCUUUCAUUGUUUUACUGGUAGCACAUACUUAACUAACACAGUCUCCCACAAAACUCUGUGAUCAGAAUCACCAGAAGAAGAGAACAAAUGAAAUAUUGAUGGAUAAAAGGAAGUGUGGGCUAUAUUUAAAAAGAACAAUAUUCACUCAUUAAAACAGCUGCUCUACUUAACAGGCUUGUUCAGUCAGUUGUUAAAACGUAAAACAGAUGCAAUGGUGCUAAAUGGUUGUGUUAUUAGAUAUUGGUAUUACUUGCUCAUAUUAGGCCUAUUCCACACUAAGAGAGAUUAUUUUGAAAGCACUAGUAUUUUCAGUGUGUUUUCGGAAAGUUUCCUGUCUGCCAUGAAACAGGAAAAUGACAGAAAACAGCACUGGCUGUCUGAUGCAUGACCUUAUAAUUUAUGUAAUUUCUGCCAUGUUUGUUUUGACAACAUGAACAUAAAAUACUCUUUCUUGCACACACCAGCGCUGAACAUUUAAAGCAGUUACACGUGAAAUUUAAAUACCUAACACAAAAAGCAGCAAAAAGCUACAUUUUCCACUAUCCAAACUAUGUCGGAAAGGGGAUCCGAAAAGAUGCAUUUUCAGUGGUUGAAAAUGCAGUGUUAGUGUGGAUGGAAAGGCAAAACCAAUGAGAAAAAAAUGUUUUCAUAUUUUCCCCAUGUUGGUGGUGACAAGGACUUUGUAGUGUAUCUCUGUGAUUCAAAUUGAACAGCAAUAUAGAUUCUAUUAUUUUGACUCUGUACUCAUUCUUUCCAUGUAGUUUUAAUGAGGUUAAAGUGCAAUAUGACAACUUUACAAUGUGAAUGUCACUUUUUGUCAAGGGAUCUGUGUAGCAGCUCUCCUGACAAUGCUAAAACUAAUGAAACAUUUUGUUCAUCUGAACAUCGACAUAUUCUGUGCUAUAAUAUAGAGAGAUGAAUAAUUUAAUUCGCAUAAGGACGACUAAUAACUCGGAAAAAACGGUAAGAGUGGAUGGCUUAGAGAGCAAAAAGAUUAAGAUUUGGAAGAAAUUUUAUUUAAUUGAUACAUAAAGUAAUGUGCAUAGAUAAACAAAGAAAUGUCAGCACAGAUUCAGUUACACUGAUUUCAGUGUCACAACAAAUUGACUGUUUGGGUCUGUGCAGUUCUGUGGUGUGAUUUAUAAACGGCCUCCACUCUCCUCCCUUCAGCUCCAAUAUUAGCGAGAGAUUAGAUGAAUUCCUGAAAUGGCUUUGCUACUUCCGAAUUGCCUCACAGUCGUUUCCAUUGUAUGAGCCUGAUGGAAUUUCCUUUUUUACAUCAAACUAUUUUGUUUAUUUGCUUGUCUGUUUAGCAAGCAGCUAAAGGAAUGUGUUUAGCAUUGGGGGCAAAGUUCACUGUGAGAGAGUAGGCUACAGAGAGAUGAGUGUGAGGCGCUGGCAAGUCAAACCAGAGCCCGCAGCUCGCAGAACCAAGCACAAACAAAGUCUUUAUUCUCACACACAGCAGUUUGGGGAAGUCAUGGCUGGAUAGGGGAGAGUGCCAGUAAUUUACUUUAGUGUGUCUCAUCAUUUUCUCCUCUUGCUUCACUUCUUCAAUUAAGUUCUCAUAUGGCUGUCCUCUUUCUCACUGAUCCCAUUUACACCUGGCGUCACGUGUCUUGUAUCUGGAUUGUAUUCUGACAAGAUUUAACCACAUGCAUUUACACGUGCAGCAUCUACGGGUGGCCAGACUGAAAUCUGAGAGCUGUAUUGCACAAUAAUAUGCAAAUCAGCUUAUUCCAUUCAAACACCAGCUUGUAGUAUUGUUCGUUCUUCUUCUUCCUUUUUUUUUUUUUUUUUUUUUUUUUUUUUUUUAAAGUUUAGUUAGUUACUUUCAAGAUGAUUUAAAGCAUCAAAAAUCAUGAUUUUUUUUGUUUUGCUGUUUUAAAUCUCUGUUAUGUUUUAAAUAUGCACUCAACAGCUCUCAAGGGGCCUGUGCGUCACCUCUUGGGUGUGGUUUUGUUUGUCAAAUGUGGUUUGGAGAGACAGAUACAUUUAUAUUUCUGUAACAUGGGUAAAACGUACCUCCUGAAAUGGAGCGAUCAGAUUUAAAUCUUGCAAAUGUGUCUUGUGUGUCCCCUCAUGCAGAUGUAAUCAUGAUGCUCAAGAUGCAUGAAAUGAUCAAAUGUACGUAGGAUCCCAGUCACUUGCUUUAACGUUGUGAUGUGUAUGACAAAUCAACUUCUACCCAAAGCUAGAAUGUGGGAAUGCAAGGAGGUUUGGGUUGGUGGUUUUCCUAUUUUUGUCCCCCUCUUUUCCUCUGAUCCUGGCAUCUGUAACCAAUCAGGUUCAUCCACUAAAUUCCACAGGGAAAAUACGCCAGACCUAGAACGCAUAGCAGCUGCACUGGAUGCUGAGAUAGCUUUAAAGGGGCUGUAUAGAUUGCCCCAAGAGGAUAUACAGGCUGUGGUUAUGUCACAGGAUGACGGGAAGCUCAUAGUAUAUCUGAUUAACACUUGCAGGAUGAGCAUCAGUGCUGAGCCCGGGAGUCUACAGCUUCAUUCAGACAGGCAGGAGUGGCAGGCUGUAAGUCCUUGUUGAGCUUCCUGUUUACCUCCCCAUACACAUCGUAAACAUCCUCAUUCACAAAAAAUGCUAUUACUGAACCACAGGUGCAGCUUGCCCUAUAAUGGUUUGCAUUUUUUUUUUUUUUUGUAUAAUAAUCUCCUUCCUCUCAUCCUGUAGUUUUUGUUUCCCAUUGUGCCCCUGCAAUUUACAUCUGUUUCUCAAUAUCUUAGUUUUGCACUCGUCUCAUUCGCUGCUUGAGCUAUGAGUCAUAGAUGGCUGAAUGAGGUCACAUUGCCAUUGGAUUUAACCUGGUGAACUGGCUUGAUUGCCUUGGUUCUGGAAAAGCCUGAUGCAAGCUGUUUGAUUAAAGAGACGUCAAGUGAACAAGCUUCUUCCUGCACAAGUGUUCACCAUGAAUAAUGCAUAUACAGUAUAGUGCAGUGUGAACAGUGCAGAUGGAGAGAGCACAGCUCCAGAAUGGUGCUGGACAUUCGGCAUCAAUAGUGCAUCAUCUGUCACUUAUUUUCAAGCACAAGCUCCAUGAAUGUAUUUUUCUAGAAUUUCCACUGAUCAGUCACAAUGGCUGGUUUUAAGAAGUAUACAUUUCUAAUGACUUUUUCAUCAGAAAUCAGGAGAUAGCAUUGGCUAAACAAACAUAGCUGUCUCAUGUCACUGGUUCAAAGGUUUAUCCGUUACAACCGAUUUUUUUACAACCUUUUUUUUUCUUGUCCACGCGGUUUUGAAUUUACUUUGUAUAGGAAUUUGUGCUACUCUCAAUUUGUUUUUCCUCUACUGAAUUCUCUACUGCAGCCGCAAAUGACUGCCUGCUAUUUUUACUUACUGGACUUAACUUUUUUGCACUCUCAAUAUUCAUUGGUUAUUGAGAGAAAUUUGAGUCAUGUUCAGCGUUUGAUACUCUGGCCAAAUUGGCUAAAACUAGCAAAUGCAUGAAAUUAGAGACUAUGCCCUUUGCAUACUACUUAAUUUUCUAAACCAACUGUCAACUCUGACUGACCCACAAAUCAAGCACAGACUCAAUUUGGGUGAAAGUGAUGUACGGUAACUGACUUAAUUCCUCUGAUCAUUUCUGUAUUGCAGGUCUUGUGGUAUUUCAGAGCUAAAUUAAGGUACUUUUCCACCAGCGCUAUAGUGGUUUUCACUGCCAGUUUAAGAACGCAAACCUCAACUUUUUCAGAGCAACGAAAGACUAGUUUGUCAAGCUUCUUAACCACUGGGUUUGUCUCUCCUUUUCUCUCUCUCUUCUGCUACUCUAUUUCUCUCUCCAACCCCCCUUCCCUCAUUCUCGACAGGGCAAGUAUGGCUGGAAUGUACCUUCUCGUCCUGGGAACUCAGAGUUUCCAACAUGGCUGAUUUUAAUCAUUGUCACGUCACCUCGGCCCUGACCUCUCUGUUUUUUAAAUGACUGUAAGGCAUACUCAGGUAUGGGGUCUAAUUAAAGAAUAACUCUGCUCACAUAGUUGGUGAAGGUGGUUAAAGUUGAGAUUCAAGACCUCUCUAAAGCCAAUAAGACUUUAUUUCGCUGCUGUAGUCUGGUGUAUAGCUGAUGAUUUUAAAGAGUUGACUGGUCAGUAACACCCCGCAUGUUAUUUAGUGUUCAAGUUCUUGAUCUCAGAAGGAACUGCAGCACAUCUAGAAAAGAUAAAGUGAGAAUUUUUUUCUCCUUACACAUAUUAAUGGAUUCUUUUCUCUUGGUAACCAGUUGCCUGGGAUGUGCUGGUUCUGGAGAACAGAUAGAGAGAAGGGUGUCUAUGCGAAGUCUCUCUGAGAGCGGAGCUGUUGGAGUGUAAUUUUCCCAGGAAACACCUACAUCCAUAGGAUUACUGACCCUUUGCGAACACGGUGUUCUGCAAUGGGAUUUUUGAGCGUUGCGAGUGUGCGUAUGUGAAUGAGUCACGGUGUGUGAGAGACAGGAAGAGUGGGCUAUGGUUUAAAUAUGCUUCAUUGUGUGCAAAGCAGACUGCUUAUGAAUGAAGCUUUUAGCUCAGAGAGCAGAGCGUGGCUUUGUGGCAGUGCAUCCCGAUGUAGGAAGGAAACCUGCAUGUACCGUGGAACAGUGAGAAUUCAGUUUGAAGUGCUUCAUGGAAACACUAGCACAGCCUAUCAGGAGAGACUCUGUGGUUCUUGCUUGAACAGUAAAUGGUUCUGUUGUCUAGUGUGAUGGGAAGUGAAAAAUAAUUGAUCCUAUAAUGCUUUGUGAAUCUCUCUUAAAAGAUUCUUUAUCAAUGCAUGUUUGGGAUCAGACUUUUAUGCAAGUUUAUGCAUACAUACAGUCUUACCAAACAUUUCUAAUGAAAAAAUAAACCAUGAGAACUAUCAGAUUCAGAUAUUAAAUAUAAACUUUAAUCACCUAUAAGUUUUAGUAUUCAAAUGCAUUACAGAAUUUAGAAGGUUAAUGUCAUUAAAUUGAUCAGAAACAUACAAAGAAUAUUCGCAUAAAAAUCUGCUCGUCUGCAUCGUCAUGAGAAGAUGAAGAAAAAGAUUGAAGGAAAAAAAUGUCCCAGAGCCCAUUUCCUGCAUCAUUUAGCCAUCAUUCAGCAACUAAAAGUAGAACAUCCAAAUGUGGAUUUUUUUAUUUUAUUUUUUUUGGUAAAUAUUAUGAAAAUUUGUAUAGUAUCCUAUUCAAAUUGAAAUUCAUACUGACAUCCCUAAUGGAAUUACAUUAGGCCUGGUUUCAAGUGAGGUUUUAAAAAGCAUUUUAAAAGCAAAUAGUCAGAUGAGAAGAAAAAUCAUAAUAUAGGAAAUAGAAAUCAAAAACUAAGCUGCAUCAGAACUCAUGAAGAAUUGCUUUAUAAUGACAGUCUGGCACCUGAAUCAAAACUGAAUUGAAUCGUCAGGUCCCUAGAGAUGCCACCUCUUCUAGUGUGUGCACAAGGUGUAAGAGGUGCAGUUUUACGUUGUAGUGCAGCACAGGUCAUGUGUGAGAGAAAUACAGAGAAUAUUGCUCUCUGUGUAACUGUAGCCCACGGCUCUCUCCACCAUCAGUAUCCUGGCCACAGAGAGGACUUUAUCUCCACCUCAGACAAAGGGUGAUUCAGUUGCCUGGGUGUCUGAUAACCUGUUUUAGACACAGUGGAAGCUGCUACUGAAAGUAAUUUCAAUCACUGUAAACAGAACGGAUGCACGGUUGGAUGCGACUCCAACACGCUGCUGGCUCGAUCCCCUCAGCUACCUGGUUAAAUGAGCGUGGCUGGAUUUAAAAAGACUCUGCUGUUUGGCAAGAGCAUGUUUUUAUGUGGGUGACUGUUUGUAGGGGUGUAUUUGAGCAGUGUGGUGAGUGUGUGGGAGCGGGUUUGUAGGAGUUAGUGAGUUUGCCUGUGAGAGCGUGUUAGUUUGUGGGUGUCCUGUCCUUGGCUGGAGCUGUGUGGAUUGGCUCUUUCCAUGGUGCUGCAGGGUCGCCGGGUUCAAUGCGCUACUGAGGCUGUGCUCGCCCCGCUCUCGUCCUUGAACUGCUGAAAAAAUGCAGCGCUACAAAGCCACCUUUAACUGCACGCUGAGAAGGAGGCCUCCAGACUCUCUGACUCGUUGAGGUUUCUGACAUGAGGAGUGCUUCUAUAUUAUGAAAUACGUUUUGCGUAACACUGUCAUGCCCUCACUUGCCUUUUUUGUCAUUAGAAGCAUUUUUGGUGAGAGUAUUUUAUUUCUAAUGUAAUAAACUGUCUCAUACUCGUGAACUUGGAUCAGUUUGCAAACAUUGGACUGUUGAAAAAAGCUACCUAAAGUCUGGAGAGGAAUUGGGAUCUGCAUAGCUGUGAUGUGACCACUACAGUUUCUUGAACUGGUGCAGAAAUGGUUCUGGUUGGACCUAAAGCUCUUGUGCUGUUCUGAGCUGGCAGCAGCAGGAUUGAGUAGAGCUGAGCUAAGCGCAGUAAAUGGGGAAGCAGUAGCAGGCUGGCUUGGACUAAAAAACCCCUGGGGCAGAGAGCACAUGACUCCACUGCUUGUUCUAGCCUGCAUAGCUGUGGCAGCGAGGGGAGGCGCAGCUGAAACCCCAUCCACAUAGCUUCAUUAUCAGCCUUUAUACAUCUCCUUUUACCAUGCUUCCUCUGGCAUUGGCUGGUUUGAGAAACUGUAUGUGUGUGAGAAAUUAGGAAUCUUCCCUUACUAGAUCUCUUGCAUGAUUUCAAACUAAGUCUUAUGUACACCUCUGUUUCUCUCUGUGUAUCUUUCUACAGGUUGAUCCUCUCCAUCUCUUGGAACGUCCAGUGCUUGUCCGGAUGCCCACUGGCUGACCCGCAGCAGUUCUUCACUGGCAAGCUUUAUGUCCUUGUGUAUCAGCUAAAGCUGCCAGCUGAAGAACUGUUGUGGUUGGCUCUUUCCUGGCACCCCAGCUUAGACUGAGACUAUCACAGGUCAAGAGUUGGAGGAAUCUGACACAAGCCAGAUGGUAGUGAAGUCAAAAUCAAUCUCAGGUCAGACAGGUCCUGAUUUUUAUCUUAAUUCGUUUAUCCACCACAUCCCAAUUUCCCCCCAUGCCCCAUUUGGAAGGUGUCACGUGAGCUGUCUGGGCCUGGCUCUGCAUUCUCUGCAAGCAUAAACUAAACCUACUGGCAAGGCCCAUGCUGAGUCAGCAACAUUCCUGAACGGAUGAGAUGCUCCUGCCCUUAUUUGGGUGUGGAACAUGCGGGGAACACCCUUUAACCUCUUUGCUAUUGAUCAAAAUGUUUUGCGGGGUUGAAAGAACAACUGCAAUGCUCUUAUGGAUGUCACUGUGUUCUCUGGAUCAAAGCCCAGGCCUUUACAUGUGUUUCUGUUUAUGAAUAAGUCACCGGGUUCUUCCAGAGUAUGAACGAAAAACACACUCGCUGGACUUGCAUCUGUAACUUCCCCUCAUUUUUCCCCCGGGCCCUGCUGUGGUAUGUGAUUUUGGGUUUAUUUGUUCGGCUUAUGCAUACUGUGCAUGAGUACAACCGCCGACACUCUGGGAUACACACAUGCAUACGCACGUGCACACACACACACACACACACACACACAGUGCCUGACCCUCAGCAAGCAAUAAGCCUCACUUCAAGGGCAACAGCAGUGCUGAAAACAGGAUAUGAAAAUGUGUCUUAAGCCUCUCAGCCAGAUGAAAAGCAAGACAGAAAAUGUUCUCGCCACUCAGCAGAACCAGAUGCCCAUGGCCUGAAAAGUGAAGCCCACGCUUUGUGUUUGUGCUCUCCUUCAUCGCCGAGGCUCAUGCAGGAUCAAUAUCUGACAGUUGUAGAUGUCAUUUACCUUUCUUCAAACUAGUCAGUUAAUUAAACGUAGUGUUUACAUGCAUCUAAAUAUUAAUAAUCUUGGUUUUUUUAUAUUGCUGAACAGUAGCACUACACUGUCUUUGUAUGACAUACAUUGUUGAUUUCUUAAAUAAAAAAUAAAAUAAAAAGGAGGCAAUAUCAGAAUUUUAUCAGAAACUUUACUGUUUUAAAAGUCAACAUUAAUGGUUCUGUUACUAAUAAAAUACAAACCUGUCAUUUUCAUCUCAUCUUCCCACAGGCAUUUUUUUUUAUUCCUUUUUAUUUGCUGUUUGUGCUUGCUACAUAGGGCGUAGCACAGUGGUGUUUUAGGACUAUUUGAGCACUAUUUGCUCGAUCUUUGAUAUUCAGUCACAAAACUUGACUACAAUGUGUGUCUGUUGAACUGAUUACAGGUAGGCCUAAUAUCAGUUUCUUUGCUGAAUUUAUAUUUUUUCAUUAAAGUCACAGUUUAAACAUUUGUGAAAAUAAAGUGUUAUAAAUGCA